rnacentral:lncRNA from 1 species
UUGUCAUAUUUUUUGUUACUCUAGUUGUCUCUCCAAAUUUGUUUUGUCUUGUCUACACCCUUAUCUGAAACAUUAACCAGUUCAUCUUCAUAGGAGCCAUGUGAAUCCAGAUCAUGUCAUGGUGCACACUACCCCAGGGCAUCUGAGAGCUUAAAAGGCCCAAAGGACUCCUAGGAACACACUCAACAAGGGACAAAGUCUGAGAACAGUUUCGUCUGCGUGGUGAACAAUGCAGGAGGUGCCCACCAAGCCCUAACACAGUGGACUGAAGACGGCCACACAGGUCUCAUUGAUGGAAGAGUGUCCUGCUGAUUGGUAGGGAAGUAGCACCGGAGACAGAGGUGGCAUCAGCAGCCAGGUGGACUGGGGGCAAGAAGAGAAGGAAAACAUGCUCUCAUCUCAGGAACACCCAGCACCUUACCAUGACCCUUUGUUGUGCAAGAAGAUUACAAGAGGCAACUUGGGGAACUUCCUCACUGGGGCAAAGUUCCUCUCUCUCCAGCAGACGUCAAGUGAUCAGGGUCCUGGAUACUGAAGCAUUGUGUGUCGGAGUGAAUAUAAACCAAUGAGGAUAUCCACAGAGAUCUGGGUUUAAGAUCUGCUUUGGCAGAAGUGUCACCAAGAGUAUCAUAUGCUGGAAUCUGGACACAAAUUGUAUGGUUUAAACAACUUGGAAUACACAGACUAUUUUUUUUAUCUACAGUAAA